AUUUUAGAGAGUUUGAUCCUGGCUCAGGAUGAACGCUGGCGGCGUGCCUAACACAUGCAAGUCGAACGGAGUUCUUAAGGAAUGCGGCUUCGGUCAAAUGACUUUUGAACUUAGUGGCGGACGGGUGAGUAACGCGUGAGCAACCUGCCUUUCAGAGGGGGAUAACAUUUGGAAACAGAUGCUAAUACCGCAUAAGAUUACAGUACCGCAUGAUACAGUGAUCAAAGGAGCAAUCCGCUGAAAGAUGGGCUCGCGUCCGAUUAGAUAGUUGGUGAGGUAACGGCUCACCAA
rnacentral:ncRNA from 1 species